AGAGUUUGAUCAUGGCUCAGGACGAACGCUGGCGGCGUGCCUAACACAUGCAAGUCGAACGGGACCGGGGGCAACUCCGGUUCAGUGGCGGACGGGUGCGUAACACGUGAGGAACAUGUCCUUCGGCGGGGGAUAGCCGGCCCAACGGCCGGGUAAUACCGCGUACGCUCGACUGGGGGCAUCCCCGGGCGAGGAAAGCAGCAAUGCGCCGAUGGAGUGCCUCGCGGCCUAUCAGCUAGUUGGCGGGGUAAUGGCCCACCAAGGCGACGACGGGUAGCUGGUCUGAGAGGAUGGCCAGCCACAUUGGGACUGAGACACGGCCCAGACUCCUACGGGAGGCAGCAGUGGGGAAUCUUGCGCAAUGGGCGAAAGCCUGACGCAGCGACGCCGCGUGCGGGAUGAAGGCCUUCGGGUCGUAAACCGCUGUCGGGAGGGACGAAGCUCUGACGGUACCUCCAAAGGAAGCACCGGCUAACUCCGUGCCAGCAGCCGCGGUAAUACGGAGGGUGCGAGCGUUGUCCGGAAUCACUGGGCGUAAAGGGCGCGUAGGCGGCGCGGUAAGUAGGGGGUGAAAUCCUGCGGCUCAACCGCAGCAUUGCCUUCUAGACUGCCGUGCUCGAGCACAGUAGAGGCAGACGGAAUUCCCGGUGUAGCGGUGGAAUGCGUAGAGAUCGGGAAGAACACCGGUGGCGAAGGCGGU
rnacentral:rRNA from 1 species